rnacentral:rRNA from 1 species
AACGAACGCUGGCGGCAUGCCUAACACAUGCAAGUCGAACGAGACCUUCGGGUCUAGUGGCGCACGGGUGCGUAACGCGUGGGAACCUGCCCUUGGGUUCGGAAUAACUCCCCGAAAGGGGUGCUAAUACCGGAUAAUGUCUUCGGACCAAAGAUUUAUCGCCUUUGGAUGGGCCCGCGUUGGAUUAGCUAGUUGGUAGGGUAAAAGCCUACCAAGGCGACGAUCCAUAGCUGGUCUGAGAGGAUGAUCAGCCACACUGGAACUGAGACACGGCCCAGACUCCUACGGGAGGCAGCAGUGGGGAAUAUUGGACAAUGGGCGAAAGACUGAUCCAGCAAUGCCGCGUGAGUGAUGAAGGCCUUAGGGUUGUAAAGCUCUUUUACCCGGGAUGAUAAUGACAGUACCGGGAGAAUAAGCUCCGGCUAACUCCGUG